rnacentral:rRNA from 1 species
GACAGAGGGUGCAAACGUUGUUCGGAAUUACUGGGCGUAAAGCGCGCGUAGGCGGCAGCGUGUGUCGGGCGUGAAAUCCCACGGCUCAACCGUGGAAGUGCACUCGAAACUGCGCAGCUAGAGUCUCGGAGAGGAAGGCGGAAUGCUUGGUGUAGAGGUGAAAUUCGUAGAUAUCAAGCGGAACACCGGUGGCGAAGGCGGCCUUCUGGACGAUGACUGACGCUGAAGCGCGAAAGCGUGGGGAGCAAACAGGAUUAGAAACCCCAGUAGUCC